UACAGAGGGGGCAAGCGUUGUUCGGAAUUACUGGGCGUAAAGGGCGCGUAGGCGGCCUUCUAAGUCGAACGUGAAAUCCCCGGGCUCAACCCGGGAACUGCGUCCGAUACUGGAAGGCUUGAAUCCGGGAGAGGGAUGUGGAAUUCCAGGUGUAGCGGUGAAAUGCGCAGAUAUCAGGAGGAACACCGGUGGCGAAGGCGGGUCUCUGGGCAACAACUGACGCUGAGGAGCGAAAGCGUGGGGAGCGAACAGG
rnacentral:rRNA from 1 species